UACGUAUGGGACGAGCGUUGUCCGGAAUUACUGGGCGUAAAGGGCGCGCAGGCGGUAUAUCAAGUCAGCUGUCAAAGACUGGGGCUCAACCCUGGUAUGCGGUUGAAACUGAUAUGCUGGAGUGCUGUAGAGGCAAGUGGAAUUCCCAGUGUAGCGGUGAAAUGCGUAGAUAUUGGGAAGAACACCGGUGGCGAAGGCGACUUGCUGGGCAGCAACUGACGCUGAGGCGCGAAAGCCAGGGGAGCAAACGGGAUUAGA
rnacentral:rRNA from 1 species